rnacentral:rRNA from 1 species
ACCCGCUGAACUUAAGCAUAUCAGUAAGCGGAGGAAAAGAAACUAACAAGGAUUCCCCUAGUAACGGCGAGCGAAGCGGGAAGAGCUCAAAUUUAAAAUCUGGUAGGCCUAGCCUACCCGAAUUGUAGUUUAAAGAGGCGUUAUCUGGCCUUUGCCCAGUGCUCAAGUCCCUUGGAAUAGGGCGUCACAGAGGGUGAGAACCCCGUCUGGGCACUGAGUAAAGGUCUAUAUGAGGCGUUCUCUACGAGUCGGGUUGUUUGGGAAUGCAGCUCAAAAUGGGUGGUAAAUUUCAUCUAAGGCUAAAUACUGGCAAGAGACCGAUAGCGAACAAGUACCGUGAGGGAAAGAUGAAAAGCACCUUGAAAAGGGAGUUAAAUAGUGCGUGAAAUUGUUAAAAGGGAAACGAUUGGGACCAGUAUUGCUGUUGGUCGUUCAGCAACGUGUUGGUGCAAGCCUGUACGUUGUGCAUUCGAUCAGCGGCGAGUCAGCGUCAGUUUGGGCUUCCGGAGAGAGGUCAGAGGAAGAUGGGGCUGGUCUUCGGGCCAACCUUUUAUAGACUCUGGCUGGCACGGGAGCCUGGACUGAGGUGUGCGACCGUAGUACUCACAGCUUGAAACUCGUCCCCAAAGUUUAGGACUGCACGCAGACCUCGACUGUAAGGAAGGGAGGUAGGGCUGUGCAUACGGUUCCAGGAUGCUGACGAAAUGGUCUUAAACGACCCGUCUUGAAACACGG